UACGGGGGGGAGCAAGCGUUGUUCGGAUUUACUGGGCGUAAAGGGCGCGUAGGCGGCGUAACAAGUCACUUGUGAAAUCUCCGGGCUUAACUCGGAGCGGUCAAGUGAUACUGUUGUGCUAGAGUGCGGAAGGGGCUACUGGAAUUCUCGGUGUAGCGGUGAAAUGCGUAGAUAUCGAGAGGAACACCUGCGGCGAAGGCGGGUAGCUGGGCCGACACUGACGCUGAGACGCGAAAGCGUGGGGAGCAAACAGG
rnacentral:rRNA from 1 species